ensembl:lncRNA
AUAGUGUUGUGCUCUUUGUAUCUGUCGUGGUUCACAUGGAAAUAAACAGGAGGCAUUACUUUCCGAGCAACAUAGGUAAAUAGAAGAACAGAAAUUAUGCAUAGAUACAGAAGAUAUAUUUAAAUAGCUUCAGCAACUCUUUAGUAACUCAGUUUCGUAUUUUCUGCCCUGCUUUCCCCAGCUGCAAAACUUUUCACCACAGUAGCUCUCAAACAGUUCUUUCUAAACAAGGAGCAAACGUCCUUGAAACAGGGAAUUUUCUUCAAUCCACGCAGAGCAGCUAAGUUACCUCAUGAAUAUUAAUGAGCAUUAAGCUGUGCCACAAAUAUAAUUUUCAGGCAAAAAGUCUUCUGCACGUAGGUGCAGUCCCUGGCAAAGUUCACAACACAGCAUUCUCUCUGCUGGUUGCAGGUCCUCAGUGCCACACAGAUUUCCUCUUCAGAUGCAGCAGAGGCAACUGGGAAUGCUGAGCUCCCAGAACAUAAAACAUCAUUAGAGAAAGCUAAAAGCAAACAAAAACAACGCAAGGCAUCAAGCAAGAAAGAAAAAAAGGUUAUUUAAUUUGCAUGGGAGUUUUCUACCUCUUCUGAACAGGUCCACCCAUCUCUAUAUUUUUCCUCUUUAAAUGUUAAAGCAUCUGAACAUUUGUUCUGUCAGUUGAGAAAAAAUGGACUGACUUAAACCCAUCUUAGAUCCCCGGGGGAUAUCACAGGAAAAUAGGACAGCAGUGCUGAGAGGAAAAACUCCAUCUACUGCAUCUUUUACAAUUAAAACUUACCAACAGUGACGCAGGGGAAAGAGGUGAGAACGGCUUUUAUGCUGCAAUUCAAAGUUCCAUAUUGUAUCCAACCACCAAUACACAAAGAGUGCAAAUGAAAAUUACUCAUGUCAGUGGCUGACAGUUGCACUGUCUGAGGAGCACCCUUCUGUAGCUCUAUUCAUACUGACAUGUAAUUAAAGCAUACCGUGUCCAGAAAUUUCAAGUGAAAAGCCUUGAAGUAUGAUCAAAUUGAGCUCUGUGUAUGUCUUUGUCAUGUCUGAAAUGCAAGAGGUACUUAAGGAUGCUUCAGGUAUUCUACAAAUACAGAUGGAUUUGAACAGGAAACCAUAAAAGUAAAUCCCCUUUAUAAUUCAUACAUUAUGAAUUUAACUGCAACGCCUAGAAUUCUGACUAGUUAAGUCCUACCAAAGCUUCAUCUAUCAAUGUAUGUUUUCUGAUUCCAAAUUUUUAGGCUUCUUCCAUUAACAAAAAAGAAUGAUGAUGACCUUCAGGAGCUUUGGCUGAGUAAGAACUAAGAAAUCUGGGACGAAGGAGCUGCUCCAAACUAUAAGCUCCUCCCUGAAAAACAUGGUGAAUUGUGACAAGAUAUUAAGAAACUUUUUCUGUAACAUUUUACCCUUCCAAAAACAUAUGAAAGAAAGCACAGUGAGGGCAAGUCCCUGGAUUUAAGAGAAACGACACAACUUUGCAGUUUCUGGGAACAAUCUCAUGUAUGUUGGACUAUUAAUUUCAUAAAAUCAUAAAACCAUAGAAUCAUCAAGAUUGGAAAAGACCUCUGAGAUCAGUCCAACCAUCCACUCGUCACCAGUAUUUCCCACCAAACCACAUCCCUCAGUACAACACCUAAAUGUUUCUUGAACACCUCCAGGGAUGGUGACUCCACCACCUGUUAUGGUUGUCAGAAACUUGUGGAAUCCAUCAGCCUGCUGCAGAGGUCUGGGCUAUUGAGAGCAGUCUGACCUCCACGGAUGGAAUUUGUUGGUCUCUCGGCACCAUCUGAGCUGCAAGGUCUGAAGUUUCUGAACUGUUGUUAAUGCUACCAGGUGGAUGCAAGCUUGGAUUCUAUCCCUUCUCAACUUCUUGUAAACUCUGAAAUCUGUAAAGGAGGUCAUGAAGAAAGGAUAUCUGGAGUCAACUUGGCUCACACAUCCUAGUCCAGAAGAGGCACUGAUUCAGCUGGAUGGGACACAGCACUCAUUGCUGGAGGCUCUGAAGUUUCCAAAGAGAUUAAGAUAACUUUGAUGACAUUUCUGGAGGAUGAAGAGCAGCAAUGAUAACUGAGACUAUACGUGUGAGUGCCAUUCAAAAGGGCUUAGGAAAUAUCAGUCACACCCUGAGGGUACAUCUAAUCUGGACUGCACUCCCUGCUCCUAGUCAAUACACAUUUCAUCAUGUCAUCCAAGCUGAUUGCCAAGAAUCCUUCCUACUGAAUCAUAUAUUUCUGAGCUGCCAUCACUCCAAACUGCAUGGCUGCCAUGUUCACAUCUACUGGUGUCAGCACUGCAAAAGGAGAUGAGAAAGAUCCUUAUCCCCAUUUGACAACCCUCUCCUGGACCAGAACAGAAGCACAUGGAUCCUAUCCCUCCUUCUUCCCUCCUUUAGCAAAGUCGGACAUAACUGGAGCAGAAGCUUCAACAGACAUAGCAGCAGACUCCUGUUCAAGUGCUCUGAAGAAAGGGUAAGGAAAGUGAGAGUUCAUGUGGUAAAAUAACAAAACAAAUAUCUGAAUGGCCACAGAGUGCAUGUUGUGAUUUGAGAGGUUUGUGGUUUUAAAUAAAGUAUAAAUGAGCAAUAAGAUUAGAAACUUCAUUUGUUAAAGUUUGCAUUUCCC